rnacentral:rRNA from 1 species
UACGUAGGGGGCAAGCGUUGUCCGGAAUCAUUGGGCGUAAAGCGCGUGUAGGCGGUUCGGUAAGUCUGCUGUGAAAGUCCAGGGCUCAACCCUGGGAUGCCGGUGGAUACUGUCGGACUAGAGUACGGAAGAGGCGAGUGGAAUUCCCGGUGUAGCGGUGAAAUGCGCAGAUAUCGGGAAGAACACCCGUGGCGAAGGCGGUUCUCUGGGACGGUACUGACGCUGAGACGCGAAAGCGUGGGGAGCGAACAGG